ACGACUCUCGGCAACGGAUAUCUCGGCUCUCGCAUCGAUGAAGAACGUAGCAAGAUGCGAUACUUGGUGUGAAUUGCAGAAUCCCGUGAACCAUCGAGUCUUUGAACGCAAGUUGCGCCCGAAGCCUUUCGGCCGAGGGCACGUCUGCCUGGGCGUCGAA
rnacentral:rRNA from 1 species